rnacentral:lncRNA from 1 species
GAGAUCACUGACAGAGAAAUGACCACCAGCCUGUCUGGUGCUGGAUGACAGAACACGACCACCACCAACAUCCACACGACGCCUGCUUAGUGCUGACUCAAACGACACCAGUCUGUCACAACUGAGGCGGUCUGUCUACUGCUGGAUAACUGGAUAAACUGAUGCCUCCUGUCUGUCAGAGAUGACACCGUCUGUCUAUUGCUGGAUAAACUGAUGCCACCUGUCUGUCAGAGAUGACACCGUCUGUCUACUGCUGGAUACGUCACGUGCACCAGACAAGUGACAGUAGUCUCUGCUGAAUGGACUGACACCACGUGACCACUGUCAACUGCUGGAGGAACUAACACCACCACACCUUUGUGACAUCUGUGUGCUGCAACAUAUUCAGACACCACUUACACCCUAGUAACACCUGUAGACUGUUAGAUGAACCGACACCACCACAGGUCACGACGACCCUUUAGAGUGCCAGACGAACUGACACCGCCUACACACGAGACACCUACUCUGGAUGAACCAACAACACCUGCACCUACGUGAAAGUCACAUGACCAAUGUCCCGCUUUCAUGGAGCUUUUCAGGGUUAGUGAUGACAAGCCACCGAGAUGAGCGUGCUGUCCUGCUCCCUGCAGUCCUCCCUUUGAUGAUAAUACUUUGUACGAACUGUGGUAUGAGCAGGUGACUUGCCGUUCACAGAUUGGUAUGAGCAUGAUAUUCUCCGUUCACAGAUGACGUAUGAGCAGGUGACUUCCACGUUCACAGAAAGGUAGCAGCUGUAUCAGCUGGAGCUCCGCCAUCACAGCAGCAGACAGAAAGGUGGUUAUUAGUUUCAAUGAGUUUGUGGUUUCACCCGAGUACACGCGCGCGGACACACACACACUCACACAGAGUGAAGAGAUUCCAGUCACUUGAAAUUGUCGUUUAAUGCAUUACAAUGUCGUUUCAUUGCACGGAAAUAACACUUAACUUUUGCUCACACACAAAUGCACAAAGUCUGACUCGUUGGUAAUCAAAUAAGUUUUUGUUUCCAGAAACUCAAUCCAAAAAACAAGCAAAUAUAAAUGUUAUCCACGGUGAACCUUUGCCUGGAGUCGUCAGUGUACCGCUCAGUUACAGGGACAAACACUGAAUCUCAAGCACCUAGCUAAGCCUUCUUUACACCUGUUGUCUCAGUUACAGGUGCAAACACAUCGUGCAGUCCCUCUAAAGUGCAGGAAUAAUUAUGUUGUACAAUCUGCUGCCUACCAAGGCGUAAUCAUUACUAGAAGCUAAAGCCAUGUUUGCUGGACUACAAAAACAAACAAACCAGGGCCACUAACAAAGUGGCAGCAUUGUCACUAACCCUGCAACAGAGAUGGAAAGGAAAUAAAUCAGUAAUGGUUACCGCAGAGACAAGAGAAAGCAAACAGGGUCUCACAUGAUUCUUCUCACCUUCAUGGCUUCAUUACAGACUAGCAAACAAAAUAAUUUAUGUCACUGAUGAACCUGACAUGCAAGUGCGAGAUAAAAUACUGCACUCAAUGUUUAAGACAUGAUGUUGAUCACAGGCACUGCUUGCUUUCAAAAAGCAGUUUCUAUCAACUUUAACCAUGAUGCAAAGAUUCUGGAUUAACAGCAUUCUCAGAAACAAAAACUGAAU